rnacentral:rRNA from 1 species
UACGUAGGGGGCAAGCGUUGUCCGGAGUUACUGGGCGUAAAGCGCACGCAGGCGGUCUGGUAAGUUUGGAGUGACAGUCAUCGGCUUAACUGAUGAAGUGCUUCGAAAACUGCCCGACUUGAGGGCUUCAGAGGGACACGGAAUUCCGGGUGUAGUGGUGAAAUGCGUAGAUAUCCGGAGGAACACCAAAGGCGUAGGCAGUGUCCUGGGAAGUUCCUGACGCUCAGGUGCGAAAGCUAGGGGAG